AAGUUGAAUGCACCAAUUUGUAAGUCGCUCUGGAUAAGAGCGUCUGCUAAAUGACUUAAAUGUAAAUGUGUUGUGAUAAAGGGACCUAUUCAAUGAACUUAACGAAACCUUUUAAAGGGAUUUGCUUGAGUGAAUCCUCUAACGAGAAUUGGUAAAAACCACAUGACAUUCUGAACACUUGAUUUUGCAUUAUGAUUUGCCAAACAAAAGGCUUGCUAUUAUGUACAUAUUUGUGUAUUUUAUGUACAUUUGUGUUUUAGCAAACUCACUGUGUGUUUAGGGCUAUUUUCAAGUGAACUAAUUUAGAUAAAAAUCAUUUGAAUGGAGUUUGAUUGCCUGACUGUUUGGGUACUUAAGUGUCAAUACUGUAUCAUCUCUGUUACUGUCUAUCUAGGUUCACCGAAACGCUGAGGUUUCUGUUGUUACCAGCUUUAACCACUGGGGGGAGCAUGAGACCAAAUCCUAUUUUUAACCUCAACAGAUUGUCUGGAGUGGAGCCCCACAGUAAGUAGCCACUAGAAUUCUGGAAGCACAGGCAUCUACUUUUUGCUUACUCAUACGUUAUUUUUAGAUAACAUGGUGAGAGAGCCCUUGCAUCAAAUCCUUUUCUCAGCAUUGAUGGUGUUGGUUGUUCCUCGGAAGACCAUUUGCAUAGAGAGGAUACUUUGCAUUGGCGGUGCAUGCUUCAGUGCUCUGGGAGUGUUUAUAUCCCUGUGAGUUGAACACUUCAUGACUGAGAUCUGUCCUUCAUGACAACAGAACCAACAACAACCAUGACUUUUAUCACCAUCUUCAUCUGGACACUUGCUUUCAAGUAUUUUUUUUCAGAAUCCAGAGGGCAGUACACUUUGACUCAGACUCCUGCGGUGAAUGCUGUUCUCCCAGGACAGACAGUCUCUCUGGGGUGUAAAACUAGCAGUGAUCCUUAUGGGAAUUGUGGUGGUUCAGGUGAACAGUGUCUAGCUUGGUACCAGCAGAAACCUGGAGGAGCUCCUAAACUCCUCAUUUACUAUAUAAGCACCCUUCAGUCUGGGACUCCAUCUAGAUUCAGUGGCAGUGGAUCUGGGAGUGAUUUCACUCUGACCAUCAGUGGAGUCCAGGCUGAAGAUGCAGGAUAUUACUACUGUCAGAGUUUCCACUAUCCCAAUAGUAAAUAUGUGUUCACACAGUGAUACAGAGACGUACAAAAACCUCCCUCAGUCAGACUGCACAGUGACUGUACUGCUACAGAUGUGACCUAUUGCAGGUGCUGAGGGGGAAGAGACAGUGACAUGGAACACUAGAUGAGGUCAACUGUGACAUGUGACAAUAUGGUUAGAAAGCAAUCAUUCAGUUCACAUGACCAUCAUCAUAAUGGUUAUAACCUGUUAUAUUUGUCAUGGCCUUUAAGUGUAUAUAACAUUUCUUUGAAGUUUUGAAACACAUUACCUUCCAAUAUGUAAAGCAAGAUCGACAGAUGUAAAACAAAAGGUGUUCUGACCUCAACAAUCACUUCAGCCCUCCAAAACAAAUUCCAAAAUGGACCUCAACCAAAUGUGUGAUUUAAAUUGUGAUCUUCUAGCAUUAUAUUAACUGUUUUCAUGAGCAGGUUACUGACUGUUAGAUCUGUGAAUGAGACAUGAUGCUAGGUUCAAACAUGAGACCCAUGUACACUACAUACACUAUCUACGUAAAGUAUAAUAUCCAUUUUAUCUGUCAUUAAUUACAUGGUGGCAUAUCUGUUAUGUGUCCCUCCCUGAAUCCACUAUAGAGGUUAAAACCAGUCCACUCCCUCACAUCUGGCCCAGUCCAGGGUAUUUCAGGCAGUGAAACUGUUCAACUACUAGACUGGUAUCUGUGGGAGUGAAACGGAGAUUUACAUAGACAGGGCUGAGUGGUUCUGCUUGUCCCAGAAUAGAGCAGCACUGUCAACAGAUGUUCACUCUGUCCCCAGGGGUGUUUGGAGGUAGAGAAGACUGUCACUACACUAUAUAGCAGCGUUUCCCAAACUCGGUCCUCGGGACCCCAAGAGGUGGACAUUUUGGUUACUGUAAAGUCUGUCAAGUCAAACACGUCUGACACAGACUCAGUAUCCUGAUGAAUAAAGACAGUCAACUACUACCAUGGCAGCAGCUCUUCUAUUAUAUCACAGUAUAUUGUGAUAGUAUGAAAUACUGGUCAAUUAUAAUGUUAGAGUGAGUUUUAGACUUGACAGUUGUUAAAGACACCAUUAAUCAGCCUUACUGAAUACAUCUCUUUCCAGAAUAUUGCAAAUAUACAGUAUCUAUGAUCCAGUUUAUUA